GGGAUCUAAGAAAUUGGCUGCCCUCCUCCUCCAUCCUCUAUACUGAGCACAAACAGCAUAGCUGCGACUCUCCUCCGGUGCCUUUUGCUCUGCUUAUUUGUCGACAGGACCAAGCAGGAAGCAGUUGGGCACAGAACUUGAAGUAGGCUAGGAACUGAAGGGGACGCAAACUGUAGUCUCUUGCCAUAACCACCCAGAAACGCAAAGGCAGUGCUGGGUCAGCACAGACUCUGGGAAUGACCUUUUUCUCAGGGGUGGGAAGUCUGUGGGGCCCUCUAGAAGCUGGACUCUGAUUCCCAUUGGUCUCAGCCAGUAUGGCCAGUGGUCAGGGGUGAUGGAAGGGGUAAAAAGUUAGCCUAACCCUGUCUCUAUAAUUGAAGCACAAUAUGCUGUGGGUGAGGGAAAAUGGAGGAAACUUUGCAGGUAUCUCGGGCAUAGUGGGGCCGGGCGCAUAUUCUUGGUUUAUCGUAGUGUCUGCAGCAGAGAAGCUUAAACUUUUGAGGAGCUGUUCCCUGCCAACGGCCACCUCCUGAUGGGAUUUGAAUUCGGGACCCCGAGUGUGAAGUCCAGCAUUUGCAGGGUUGUUGUUUUUUUAAAAUAUUAUUAAAUGCUGGUGCAUGUUCUUCUUCCUGAGAUUCGUUAUUUUCAGGAGAAAAUCGGAUAGGGGGUUAUUUCUCCAUUAUGGUGCUUCAGUUACCAGAAAUGCGAGGGUGUGGCCUCCGAUUCUGACGAAGCCACUAGAAUGUUCCUCGUAGGGCAGAGUCUAUGCAGAGUCUGGCUUUAUGGAAGGGGACUCGGAAGGCUACAGAGCAUUGCUUGGCACGCUGUUAACGGGAUUAGCUCUCCUAUAAAACAGCGUUGAAUAGUUUGGCGAGUGUAACUGUUGCGUUUAGAGCCUCACUGUUGGGUACAGCGAGUUUGCAUUUCAUAAGACUCCUCUUUCCACCCGGUGCUCUCAUCUGGUUCCCUUGUUUCAUUGCCCUCUUUGGGAAAUAAUUUGGGGACCUUGAAUUCUUCAGCCUUUUUAGCGGGGUCUAUCCAGUGGCUGCUCCCCUUCAUUCGGCACACCAUUGCUACAUACAAUUCCGCGCUGCCAGUCCUUUCCUUCCUUCCGGAUUUUGCUAUAUGGACCCGAAAUUCCUUCAUUUCAAAUACGUCCCUUGAGGUCAUCUCCCUAGAUUAAGAGUGCCUAUCACUGUUAGCCAGGAGGGUGGGAUGCGUACAACUAGGUCCUCAUCUCUCUGAUCUCACCUCUCUACCUUUUCGUAAGAGCCGUAGAUGGCGUGGGAAUCUUGAUGUAUGCCAUUAUUCUAGGCAGAAAACUAGAAGUCUCCCAGAUGCCGCUGGACUACAGUUCCCAUCAGCCUUGGCUAUGGACAGCAAUGGCUGGGGCUGAUGGGAGCUGGAGUUGCAACAUCUGAAAGGCCCCUGGCUCCCCAGCUGAAGAAGCUAUUGCUGAGUUUCACCCUGUGAACGAGGCUGUGCACUCUUAUGCGGCUGAAUGCAAAAAGCCCCAGCUGCCCAUUUAGGACGAGGGUAAUCUUUCAGCAGGGGAAGAGGACAGGAGAUGGAAGGGUUAUUAAAUGCCCUUUCUCCCCUUCGCACCCCUGAUGGCCUGAGCCUCUCCUUAAAAGGAGGGGCACAGAAUCCCUUGCCUGGGACUUAAAGAUGCAUUUAAAGCCAUUUGUAACUACGCUCCUCUGUUGCCAGAAUCCGCUCAGUGGCUUUCCUUCACCUCCAUGAGGACUAGAGACGGAAACUGCGUAUGCCUCUGUUUGAGGGCUGUAUCCCAGCAAGCUGUUUCUGCAUUUGAAGCAGCCAUAUUCUGCGCAAAGUGGCCAUGUGGCUUUAACAGCUUGCUGGACUUUCUCUCUGAGUGUUUUGGGUUUUUUUAAACAAGCUAUGGCACCGCUUUCUAAAGCGCUCUGGUUUGCUGUACACCGGGAACAGAGGUGCCUUUCUGAGCUUCAUCCAUCUCUCUGUCUCUGUCUCUUUCUCUCUUUCUUUCCCUCCUCUGUAUUUGGCAUGUUCUCUAAUGCUGCCAAGCGUAGAGCUAAUUUGCUUCUAAUUGCAUCAAUUAUGUUAUUAGCAACACAGCAGUAAUAUUGAGAUCCUGCCAUCCUGAGUUUUGGCCUGGGUUGACGGAAAACAUAAACAGCCUUAAUUCCCCUUGAAACUAUUCUGGGGCCCUGCCUUCCUUCCUUCCUGGGCCCCUUAAAGCCACCAGCAGAGAGCUUCACAGGAAGCAGAGUGAAAUUUCUCUAGCUGGUAGUGCCUUUAAGCUGGCGUCCUCGCUGAGCUCUGCCAACCCCACAAAGCCAGGAGGAAUGGCAGGAUUCCCCCUGGGUCCUAUCUUCCCCUCUGCCUUCCAGGUCCUCCAGGGACAAACCCUGGCGCUCUCUCGACUGUGUACCCAGCUGCAAUCUAUGGAGCCAUGGCAAUGGCUAUUUCCUGCCUUUGGGACUGGAGAGAGACGUCCCCAAGCCAUAUCGCUGCCAGUGGCUUUGAGUGUCUUCCCAACCACUGUUGCACCAAGGAAUUGAACCCUGGGGGAAGGGAACAGGCAGAAAGAAGGUGCUUUAGUCACUAAGUGACUCCUCUGGAGAUUAUCCAACUAUCUUGGAUGCAAAAGGGGUAGGGGGUACUGGAGGCUUAGCCCUGGCUUAUUAGGGGUGUUUGUGAGGUGCAUCCUUUGGCUUCCUCCCGUAUCAGUUGUGUCCUUGAAUUCACCCAGAGAGAGAAGCGUUGGCAGCAAGGGAGCGAGGGGAACCAGCCCAUCACCUCUUAAGUGCCCGUAGCCCAGCUCCCUCUCCUAGAAACCCCAUGGUGUGGGACAGUUUUCCUCCGCACCAUAGCUUGCCUGCCGUACAAAGAAAGUCUAAUCCCAUGGCUCUCAAGAAACGGAAUUCGGAGAGUAGGGCUCGGUUCUAAGUAGCGAACUUGCGUCCCCAUCAAAGCUUUCCCCAUUAAGAAAGGAAAUAGCGUGUCUCCUGGGGAAACUUAAAAUUAUUUUGCAAGGGGCUGGCUUGGGAAAGGGGAGGUGUUUGUAAUCCAGCGAGAGAACUUAUUGUGCCUUUGUCUUACGCUAAAACAUGGGGAGACAGAGGCUUAGUACCUCCACAAAGCUCUGCUGUCUGCUAUGAUCCCCUUGAACAUCCACCAACCAUGCUAGGAGGCAGGAUGUUUCUAUUGUGUAUUCGAGGGAUGCGGAUGUUGUGGUGAUGGGUACCAGUCCUUCAUAGCAAGCAUCCAGUAAAGGACCCGUCCACCUAACACGGAAAACUCAUGUUCCAAAGGUGAUCUCCACGCUGCCCACUGCUUAACUUCAUCGCCUGCCUGGCCCCCAGUUUGAUCUGCCGUUCCUCUAUGUAAAAGUGCUUUGUAAAUAAGUGAAAAUAAAAUCAGGAUGCGGGUGGGUGGGUGGGAGGGAGGGAGAGAGAAGGUAAACUUGCCUGGUCUUGUAUAUAAGCAUUCAGACGGUUGCUGGAAACCAUCAGUUAAAAAAAAAAAAAAGCACAAAUUGUUAUUCGUCAGAGAAAUCGCAGGGCAGCUAAUCCUGCCUUUCCCCAGACCAUUUGUAAAAGCUUCAGCUAGAGAAUGCAUGUGUUGUUUUCCCUCCCCUCCCUGGGCGUACGCACAAGCAAUCUCUCUUAUAUGAUGCACACUUUAAAAUAUAGGAUGGGGUUCACCUAAGAAGCAACAUCAGCACAAGCCUUGUACAAGGGCGUGAGCUUGUGCAACAGGACUUUCCCCUCCCCUGGCAUCUUCCAAUAUUGACUGGGGGGGCGGUUCAGGAGAGGGGGGCCCCCCACAAAAAAUGGGGCCCCCCAGAUAAUUCCAUCUGGCAAGGUUAGUGUUUGUGCUGAUGAGACAUUCGCCAUUGUGGGGUGUUGAGUUCCACCCAUGGUGUAAAACUACUUUUUGGAAAUGUAAAGUAGGGGAUCCAUUUAGUGUUUUGCAUGUGUGUGUGUUUCCCUACCUCCAAAUUUUGGUUUCCUGUGGCCUCUUGCUUUUUUUACUUUUUUUUUUAAAAAAGUGGGGGCAACAGAAUCCUAGGCCUUUCUGCUAUUGGAUGAAAAGCUGCCCUGAAAAGGCCCUCUGAAUUUAAGUCUCCAGUCAUUGUAGAUUGUAAAAAGAUGAAGAAAAAGAUGGUCUUCUGCUGGUUAAAGAUCCGGCCAUUAAUGCUAUGAAUCUCAUGACCCACACAUUGGAACUCUCUACUUAGUAUGUUUCUCUCCAGUAUUUAUUGUUUAAACCAGUAUGUCAUUACAACAAUUAUACUAUAAAUAAAAGAAGACAAAAACCAUGU